GACAGCAUGGCAUAGUGGUUUGAGAGUUGGGCUAUGACACUGGAGACCAGGGUUUGAAUCUCUGCUCUGUCA